AGGUAUCUUCCAAAACAUAUGAUUCACUUCCUGCUGAAAUUCAUUUAAUCAUCAUGACCAAGUUGUCAGCCCCAAGACGCUAACCUGGACGACUGGAAGUUUUGUCUUCUCCAGAACGUCAGUUAACUGGAAUCAUAAAGAAUGGAGACUUCUGAAUCUGGCUUUGAGAGCCAUCCACAUUACAAUGGAAGUGAUGUUAGCCAAAAAGCAAAUUCGAGUGAUUUUCUUACUUGAGUUCAAAAGGGGUCGUAAAGCAGCAGAGAUAACUCGCAACAUCAACAACGCAUUUGGCGCAGGAACUGCUAACGAACGUACAGUGCAGUGGUGGUUCAAGAAGUUUGACAAAGGAGAGAAGAGCCUUGAAGAUGAGGAGCGUAGUGGCCGGCCAUCGGAAGUUGACAACAACCAAAUGAGAGCAAUCAUCGAGCUGAUCCUCUUACAACUACACAAGAAGUUGCCGAAGAACUCCGCGUCGACCAUUUACGGUCAUGCGACAUUUGAAGCAAAUUGGAAAGGUGAAAAAACUCGUGGGUGCCUCAUGAGCUGACUAAAAACUAAAAAAGUCGUUGUUGUGAAGUGUCAUAUUCUCUUAUUCUACGCAACAAUGAACCAUUUCUCGAUAGGAUUGUGACGUGAUGAAAAGUGGAUUUUAUAUGACAACUGGUGGCAACCACCAGCAGUUGGACCUAGAAGAAGCUCCAAAGCACUUCCCAAAGCCAAACUUGCACCAAAAAAAAGGUCAUGACCACUGUUUGGUAGUCUGCUGCCGGUCUGAUCCACUACAGCUUUCUGAAUCCUGGCGAAACCAUUACAUCUGAGAAGUAUGCUCAGCAAAUCGAUGAGAUGCACCAAAAACUGCAACGCCUGCAGCCGGCAUUGCAAUGGCGCACAACAGCAAGGGCCCAAUUCUUCUCUAUGACAAUGCUCAGCCACUCAUCGCACAACCAAUGCUUCAAAAGUUGAACGAAUUGGGCUACAAAGUUUUGCCUCAUCCUCCAUAUUCAUCUGAAAUCUUGCCAACCAACUACUACUUCCUCAAGCAUCUUGACAACUUUUUCCAGGGAAAACGCUUCCACAAUCAGCAGGAUGCAGAAAAUCCUUUCCAAGAGUUCGUCGAAUCCUGAAGCACAGAUUUUUACGCUACAGAAAUAAACGAACUUAUUUCUC